GAUGAACGCUGGCGGCGUGCCUAAUACAUGCAAGUCGAGCGAACGGACGAGAAGCUUGCUUCUCUGAUGUUAGCGGCGGACGGGUGAGUAACACGUGGAUAGCCUACCUAUAAGACUGGGAUAACUUCGGGAAACCGGAGCUAAUACCGGAUGAUAUUUUGAACCGCAUGGUUCAAAAGUGAAAGACGGUCUUGCUGUCACUUAUAGAUGGAUCCGCGCUGCAUUAGCUAGUUGGUAAGGUAACGGCUUACCAAGGCAACGAUGCAUAGCCGACCUGAGAGGGUGAUCGGCCACACUGGAACUGAGACACGGUCCAGACUCCUACGGGAGGCAGCAGUAGGGAAUCUUCCGCAAUGGUCGAAAGCCUGACGGAGCAACGCCGCGUGAGUGAUGAAGGUCUUCGGAUCGUAAAACUCUGUUAUUAGGGAAGAACAUAUGUGUAAGUAACUGUGCACAUCUUGACGGUACCUAAUCAGAAAGCCACGGCUAACUACGUG
rnacentral:rRNA from 1 species